rnacentral:rRNA from 1 species
UACGUAGGGUGCAAGCGUUAAUCGGAAUUACUGGGCGUAAAGGGAGCGUAGGCGGCGCGGUAAGUCAGAUGUGAAAUCCCGGGGCUCAACCCCGGAACUGCAUCCGAUACUGCCGUGCUAGAGGAUUGGAGAGGUAGCUGGAAUUCUUGGUGUAGCGGUGAAAUGCGUAGAUAUCAAGAGGAACACCUGAGGUGAAGACGGGUUGCUGGGCUGACACUGACGCUGAGGCGCGAAAGCCAGGGGAGCAAACGGG